UGUACAUUUUGCAGACUUCACCUAUUGGGUGGGUGGGUGAGUGGGCUACCUUUGGUGGUGCGCACUGAUCCGGUAGGAGGGGAACGUCCUGUUGCCGCCCACCCAGUUAGCGCGCGGUAUCGAAAGAGGGCGCCCUCGCAUUACAUUACCGUCAAAAUGGCAGCCAUGGACAUGCCGUCUGUGCGGCUGCAAUGUGAUUUUAGUAAUUUUGAGUAUAGCAAAGCCAUCGAAUGUGGUGUAAAUCCCUCUUAUCUGCGCGAAGUAAAUACAGUGCAACUUAAUCGAUGCACAAAAGACAUACGGAGCCAUUUGCAGAAGUGGAAAGUCGCUGCAUAUGAUGUGAAUGUCGAGUGGAAACUGAUCCUCCUGCGAUGUGGUUUGUUCGACGUCGAUGCAUACACUGAUAAGACAAUACGUCCAGCGCAUAGAUACACGUUAGGGUUGAGUUGGACAUCAUCAAGGAAAUGUUGUCAUCCACUCCAUAAAAGGAAAGGCAAACCAUUCCGUGGUGUGAAUAAAGCAACUAGCCGUGAGAUCAUAGAUGUUUGAUCGAUGGGGUACCAUGAUCACUGUUGGAACAGGUAUCUGUAGAGGUUGUCUAUCUUAGCACAAACAAGCAGUUACGCACCAGACAGCGGAACAAUUACCAUCUAGCGAUGUGCUCUCUAAGGAACAAGAAGAGCAUCAGUGUACAAUCAGUGAUUUCACAUCGCCGGCUGGUGUACCAUCUCUCCAACCCACCGACACAGCGUGCACUUCAGUUCAUGAGCAUACAUCUGAGUCAUCAUCAACAGAGGGAGAUAUUACACAGGAUGUAGGUGCACUUGACUCUUCUUGGGCUCCAACCCCCUGACCAAAGAAUGUGGAGCUGCAAUCCCUGAACACUUUCCUUACUCAGGGGGGAAUGUCUGCUGUUGAUGGGCAGCUUCAUCUGUCAUUAGAAGAAGCAUCUGAUAGCACCAUCCAUUAUUAAAGAAGGCAGGCAAAGGAAGCCUUUGGUUUAGUUCUUCAUUGUUUAGCACCAGGUCAAGAAGAUGGGCUCAUGAAGAUUACCAUCGGUGAAACAACUGCUGAAUCAUCACAAAGUGGUCAAAAUUUUGAUAGUAGUGCCCGUUUUCAUUUUUUUUUAUUGCAUCCUUUUUUACCAACAUUUUUGCAUUAGUGGUUCCAUGUUCUCUUCCUUUACGUAUUUUGUGUU